CAUGCAAGUCGAGGGGUAUAGAGAGCUUGCUUUCUAGAGACCGGCGGAUGGGUGAGUAACGCGUAUGCAACCUACCUUUUACAGGGGAAUAGCCCGGAGAAAUUCGGAUUAAUGCUCCAUGGUUUAAUUGAACGGCAUCGUUUGGUUAAUAAAGAUUUAUCGGUAAAAGAUGGGCAUGCGUAUCAUUAGCUAGUUGGUGUGGUAACGGCAUACCAAGGCUACGAUGAUUAGGGGUCCUGAGAGGGAGAUCCCCCACACUGGUACUGAGACACGGACCAGACUCCUACGGGAGGCAGCAGUGAGGAAUAUUGGUCAAUGGAGGCAACUCUGAACCAGUCAUGCCGCGUGCGGGAUGACGGUCCUAUGGAUUGUAAACUGCUUUUGUACGGGAAGAAAUGUAAUUACGAGUAAUUAUUUGACGGUACCGUAAGAAUAAGGAUCGGCUAACUCCGUGCCAGCAGCCGCGGUAAUACGGAGGAUCCGAGCGUUAUCCGGAAUUAUUGGGGUUUAAAGGGGUUCGUAGGCGGUUGAGUAAGUC
rnacentral:rRNA from 1 species